UAGCGAAGGGGGCUAGCGUUGUUCGGAAUUAGCUGGGCGUAAAGCGCGUGUAGGCGGUCUUUAAGUCAGGGUGAAAUGCCAAGGCUCAACCUUGGAACUGCCUUUGAUACUGGAGACCUUGAGUCCGGGAGAGGGUGAGUGGAAUUGCGAGUGUAGAGGUGAAAUUCGUAGAUAUUCGCAAGAACACCAGUGGCGGAAGGCGGCUCACUGGCCCGGUACUGACGCUGAGGUGGCGAAAGCGUGGGGAGCGAUCCGG
rnacentral:rRNA from 1 species